rnacentral:rRNA from 1 species
GAUGAACGCUGGCGGCGUGCUUAACACAUGCAAGUCGAACGAAGCACUUUAUUUGAAUUCCUUCGGGACUGAUUAUUUUGUGACUGAGUGGCGGACGGGUGAGUAACGCGUGGGUAACCUGCCUUGUACAGGGGGAUAACAGUUGGAAACGGCUGCUAAUACCGCAUAAGCGCACGGCAUCGCAUGAUGCAGUGUGAAAAACUCCGGUGGUAUAAGAUGGACCCGCGUUGGAUUAGCUAGUUGGUGAGGUAACGGCCCACCAAGGCGACGAUCCAUAGCCGACCUGAGAGGGUGACCGGCCACAUUGGGACUGAGACACGGCCCAAACUCCUACGGGAGGCAGCAGUGGGGAAUAUUGCACAAUGGGCGAAAGCCUGAUGCAGCGACGCCGCGUGAGCGAAGAAGUAUUUCGGGAUGUAAAGCUCUAUCAGCAGGGAAGAUAAUGACGGUACCUGACUAAGAAGCACCGGCUAAAUACGUG